rnacentral:lncRNA from 1 species
UCGGACGAGCACCGAACCUCAAGGGUAAUGUCGUAAUAUGAGCUCCCACAAAAUUAGGAGAGAGGAAGGUUCGAUUUAGGCGCCACCUCAAAUUCCGUUGGAAAAGGGGGAAAAGUAAGGAGUCCUCCCUCUGCCCCCCUCCAAUAAAUUGCAAAACCUCUCUCUUUUGAUUCGCGUGUUCAUCAAACUAGCAGUAACCGCCACGCAAUUCUCGCACAAACGCAAAGAUUUUACGAGAGAGAGAGAGAGAGAGAGAAAGCUCCGGUCAGAUUCGCCGGAAGAUUUUACACGGUCAGACGAUGAGUAAGUACGUGGAGUUGUUGGACGCCGCGGUCAGAUUCGCCGGGAGAUUUUACACGCACUGCCCUCAAACUGCUCGCCUCUACUACCAUCCUCCUUCAAAUUCCCACCUCGCCGGCGCUGCUGCCUCUAGGCGCGCGCUGCGGCCUCUAGCGCUCAGCCGGCCUGCGACAAAUCGACUCGUGACAGCAAAUCCGCUGCUGCUGCUGGUUUUGCUUUGGAGGCUUCCUUGGGGGGGUUUGAUUCUUCUGCGCAUCAGUUGGUGCGUCUUACUCUUCUCUGAGGCCAAGAUCAAGAAUUCAAGAUUAAUUGACUCCAAGGAAAGAUAAAAAGGAGUCAUAGAUUCAAUUGAUUAGUUUGCUUACAUGUAUAGAACUUGAUUCUUCUAUCAAAAUUGUUCUUCUGGAUUCUUUCAUUGUUGUGAGAAUUUUUUUAAUUCUGUUUGCUUCCAAUGUCUGUUGUUGCUGGUUGCUUUCUGUCCAAGGCAGAC